UACGUAGGUGGCAAGCGUUGUCCGGAAUUAUUGGGCGUAAAGGGCGCGUAGGCGGCCAUUCAAGUGACGGGUGAAAGCCCUCGGCUUAACCGAGGAACUGCCUGUCAGACUGGAUGGCUUGAGACCGGGAGAGGUGAGUGGAAUUCCCAGUGUAGCGGUGAAAUGCGUAGAUAUUGGGAGGAACACCAGUGGCGAAGGCGGCUCACUGGACCGGAACUGACGCUGAGGCGCGAAAGCGUGGGGAGCAAACAGG
rnacentral:rRNA from 1 species